UACGAAGGGUGCAAGCGUUACUCGGAAUUACUGGGCGUAAAGCGUGCGUAGGUGGUUCGUUAAGUCUGAUGUGAAAGCCCUGGGCUCAACCUGGGAAUGGCAUUGGAUACUGGCGAUCUAGAGUGCGGUAGAGGGCAGUGGAAUUCCCGGUGUAGCAGUGAAAUGCGUAGAGAUCGGGAGGAACAUCUGUGGCGAAGGCGACUGCCUGGACCAGCACUGACACUGCGGCACGAAAGCGUGGGGAGCGAACAGG
rnacentral:rRNA from 1 species